rnacentral:rRNA from 1 species
AUUGAACGCUGGCGGCAGGCCUACCACAAGCAAGUCGAGCGAGAGGCGGACGGGUGCGUAAUGUAUGGGGUGUGCCCGAUAGAGGGGGAUAAAGACAGGAAGCGGUAGCUAGUACGGAAUACUCGCGGAUAACCCAUAUGGGAGUAGCGUGUAGGUGGGGUAAUGGCUCACCUAGGAGACUAUCCCUAGCUGGUCUGAGAGGCUGAUCAGCCACACUGGGACUGCGACACGGCCCAUACUCCUACGGAGGCAGCAGUGGGGAAUAUUGCACAAUGGGCGCAAGCCUGAUGCAGCCAUGCCGCGUGUAUGAAGAAGGCCUUAGGGUUGUAAAGUACUUUCAGCGGGGAGGCGUUACCCGCAGAAGAAGCACCGGCUAACUCCGUGCCAGCAGCCGCGGUAAUAC